UUAUGCCAAUCAGCCUGAUUUGUAUUGAUGAAAGAAAUUUAUUUUAAAGCAGCAAAUCUUUACAUUAAAACAUUGAAUGGAAGUAUUUUAUUGCCAAGCAUGUCUGAGCAAAGAUCGUCGGAUGUUCCCUCAGGAAAAAAUCAAGGAUUUGUUGGAAGACAUCCAUAUUUUAGAGAUAAUGUAUGAUAAAAAUGGCGUCAUCUGUUGGGAGUGUUACCAAAUAAUACUAAAGUUCUCCAGAUUCAAAUUGCAAGUCUGCCAAGCCCAGAAAACCAUGCACUUUUUGACAGAGGAAUCAAGAUGUUAUAGCAACCUUUCAGUAGUUAAAAAGAAAGGAUAUGACUUCAAAUUCGUGUAUCACUCCGAUCCUCUCACGUCCGACAUCGAAAUCAAAUCUGACAUCAAACUGGAGUUGUCUGACAUCCGCGUCAAUGACUGUAAAACGGAUGCCAUGAAGCAGUUAAUGAGCGUUAAGA